rnacentral:misc_RNA from 1 species
UCCGGUUUGGCACCGGCAGUCUUCCUAGAGUCCCCGCCAUUACGCGCUGGCGGCCCUUGCGGGCUCCCUUCCCUUUCAGGUCGGUACGAACCAGCAUGUCCAGCCUGGGUAAGGUUCUUCGCGUUGCGUCGAAUUAAACCACAUGCUCCACCGCUUGUGCGGGCCCCCGUCAAUUCCUUUGAGUUUCAACCUUGCGGCCGUACUCCCCAGGCGGGACACUUACUGCGUUAGCUGCGGCACCGACGGAGACCCGCCGGCACGUAGUGUCCAUCGUUUAGGGCGUGGACUAC